CAAGUCCCAUGAGGUCUGCUCACGGAGCAGAGCGACCACACCCAGCCACGCACAGUCCAUUUGGCACAGCUGAGGCUGCCGCAGCCCGUGGACCACCAGUUAACCAGUCAGGCAGUAAGGGGAGUCUCCGUCAGCCCGGGACCCAGGACAGCACGCGGGUUUGCUUCAGGCUGCGGAGCGAAGCAAAAAUGUAAAGGUUCCCCCACAUGGACGGCUGAGUUUCCACCAGGUCCGGCCCAGCAGCGUGUAUCAAAGAUAAACAAAGCCAGACGCUAACUGGUCAAAGCGUGUCUCACGGUCAGUGAUACCAAAAUACCAUGCAUGCUGUGUUAAGCCCAGUUUGUGAAUCCGACUGGGUAGAAUUGCAGAGCGGGUGAGACCCAGCUGCAGGAGGAAGCAGUAAAUAAACCAGACCCUAAAAGGAUUCACAAGGAGCUGCAGUGAAAGCUGCCUUGCAAAUCAGGACAUGGCUCAAACAUCUAAAAAGCUUAGAAGCCAUCACGUACAUCCACACAACGAAAA